rnacentral:rRNA from 1 species
CUAGCAUAUCAAUAAGCGGAGGAAAAGAAACUAACAAGGAUUCCCAUAGUAACUGCGAGUGAAGCGGGAAAAGCUCAAAUUUAAAAUCUGGCGGUCUYUGGCCGUCCGAGUUGUAAUCUAGAGAAGUAAUGCCCGUGCUGGACCGUGUAUAAGUCUCCUGGGAUGGGGCGUCAUAGAGGGUGAGAAUCCCGUCUUUGACACGGACUACCAGUGCAUUGUGGUAUGCUCUCAAAGAGUCGAGUUGUUUGGGAAUGCAGCUCAAAAUGGGUGGUAAAUUCCAUCUAAAGCUAAAUAUUGGCGAGAGACCGAUAGCGAACAAGUACCGUGAGGGAAAGAUGAAAAGAACUUUGGAAAGAGAGUUAAACAGUACGUGAAAUUGCUGAAAGGGAAACGCUUGAAGUCAGUCGCGUUGGCCGGGGAUCAGCCUUGCUUUUGCAUGGUGUACUUUCUGGUUGACGGGUCAGCAUCAAUUUUGACCGCUGGAAAAAGACCUGGGGAAUGUGGCAGCUUCGGCUGUGUUAUAGCCCCUAGUCGCAUACAGUGGUUGGGAUUGAGGAACUCAGCACGCCGCAAGGCCGGGUUUCGACCACGUUCGUGCUUAGGAUGCUGGCAUAAUGGCUUUAAGCGACCCGUCUUGAAACACGGACCAAGGAGUCUAACAUGCCUGCGAGUAUUUGGGUGGAAAACCCAAGUGCGUAAUGAAAGUGAAAGUUGAGAUCCCUGUCGUGGGGAGCAUCGACGCCCGGACCAGAACUUUUGGGACGGAUCCGCGGUGGAGCAUGUAUGUUGGGACCCGAAAGAUGGUGAACUAUGCCUGAAUAGGGUGAAGCCAGAGGAAACUCUGGUGGAGGCUCGUAGCGAUUCUGACGUGCAAAUCGAUCGUCAAAUUUGGGUAUAGGGGCGAAAGACUAAUCGAACCAUCUAGUAGCUGGUUCCUGCCGAAUUUUCCCUCAGAAGAAGGACCAGCUACUAGAUGGGUCGAUUAGUCUUCGCCCUAUACCAAUUGACGAUCGAUUGCACGUCAGAUCGCUAGAGCUCACAG